UCCUGGCUGUAAACGCUGCGGGCUUGGUGUUGGGGGUCCUGUGAGGGCACCCAGUGCCGUAGAGAAGUUGUUAAGCCCGCCACCUGGGGAGUACGGCCGCAAGGCUGAAACUUAAAGGAAUUGGCGGGGGAGCACCGCAACGGGAGGAGCGUGCGGUUUAAUUGGAUUCAACGCCGGAAAACUCACCAGGGGCGACCGCCGUAUGAGGCUCAGCUUGAUGGGCUUAGCCGAUA
rnacentral:rRNA from 1 species